CUUCGGCGGCUGCCGGGCCCGGCGGCGCUGCAGCAGGCGGAGGACGCCCCGCGGCGGCGAGGAGCGCGGGGCCGAGGUUGGUACAGAGAUGAGUUCCAGCCAAGACCUCACUUUCUUAUGUCCUGAAUAGCUCUUGGGAAGUUGCUGGCUUGACCCUGGAGACUUAACAGUCUAAUUUUUUAAUAACUGAAGGAUUAUUUUUUUUAAUUUAAAAAAGGACUCAUUUUAGCUGUCGCAUAAGCAUGCAUUAUAUCCCAAUACUUCAAUCGGAGCUGCACAGGCAUAUCUGAGAGCACAAUUAGGCCCUCUGGACCUUUUAAAGCUUCAAAAAUAGUCAUGUGUAAUUCCUUCUUCUGUGGAUCCUGCAAGCUUUAAGAGAUUUUUUGAAAGCUGUAAAUUCCUAUUUAUCCACUAAGAGGCUCACGGGCAAUCUUCCCCUAAUGGAAAUAGAACUGUAAAGCUGAAACAUUAAUAUACACAAUAUGAUACAUUAGGCAGGGAGACUCGUCGGAGCCAACAAGAGGGCACAGUGGCCAUGCCGCGACGGAGCCGGAGCCAAACAGGUUCACUCCACUUUCUUGGCUUCCUGCAUGCAGGGUUCACUAUCUGAUUUAUAUCGUUAGUACUGCACAGUUCCCUCUUUAAAAAUAAAUAAAUAAAAAAAACAACAGACCCAUCUGACCUUUGAAUCCCUCAUCUGCAUUGGCUGGCAGCUGGCGCUGGCGAAUCGGAGGGCACAGUUUGGUCUAAAAGCAAGACAGCUAUUCCCCAAUAACUGCGCUGUUAAUAUGCAAAUCUCAGCCCUCUGCCAACUGUAAUCUCCCGCCUCUGAUUGGCUUCAGUGAUGACAAAGAUCCAGGUUAUUCAUUAGCAGGGAAAAUAUGCUCUCCAGGUUCCCCCUUAAGAUGAAGCAUUAUAAAGCCUCAAGAACGUGCAGGCUAGUAACAAACAACAACAAAACAAGACAAAGAGAAGCCAAGAAAAUGGGAUUAAAAACACAGUAAAAGAGAAAACUGCAUUUAAAAAUUUUCCUGAUUCCUUUUCUUCUUCCUUGCUUUCCCUCGGGAGUUUUGCCAGUUACUGCAGAUGGGCCAUUUUUGUUUUGGUUUUUUUUUCCAACCCUUGUUUUCUACAUAUGAUGUUGUACUCAAGUUCACAGCAGAAGACUUGAAUUUGUUCUGAGAACGUAAUUUCUGUGCUGGAAGGCGUGCACGUGUCUGUCUCCGUGAGUCAGCUUUCUUGGCUGGCAAACAGAAUACUAGGAGGCAAUGUAUCAACAUGUAUUGAUAAAUAUCUUGAUACCAAAAAUGGAAUGGAGCAAUUGAGCAAGAAGCAGUCCAUGGUUCAACACUUCAAAAGCCAUUGCAAAAAUCAGCCACCAAUAUCCGCACCAAUAUUGGUUUAUUCUUCACAGAAGGCCAGACUUAGCUAACCUCUGAACUUAGCAGAAUGUUGUGCAAGACAUGAGCUGAUGGGAAUGCUUGUGCCAACUAAACUGUCGAGACAAACAGAUCAUUUUCCAUCAGCAUCCAAUACAGCAUACAAGAGUAAGAUGUGUUCUGCAUUACAUGGAAUAAAAACUAAAUAAUUCUACUGACUCUAAUAGUGUUAAAUUCUGAGGAACCUUUGCAGAACUGGGUUGGGCUUGGGUGUCUCCAAAGCAGGUGUGCAGCCACUCUGCUCCUCCAUCUUUGGCUUUAUUUUGUAAAUUUUUCUUUGUUCUUGCAAUUCACCUUUCCUGAAACACAACAAGGUGCACUCUAUUCACUCCAGUACAGAUGCAGCCAGCUCUCCUGCUUCCUGCUUUGAGGUUGGAGAUGAGAUCAAGUUGGUAACUUCAUAGAUCAAUGUAUCUGGGCUGAAAUUGUGUUCCCAAUAAAAUCAGUAUUAAUUUUAUCAUC